AUCCGAACGCGGAAAGUUUUGCGCUUAUGGAUUAUAACGACAAAACGGGAUUGCCUCUCAGUGGACCUCCACACGUGUUUGACAAAACUCUCCGAAGAUGACAUCCUGACGUAGGUUCUUGUGUGGGAGCUGAGGUCUUUUCCCAGACACAACAGAAGCCAGAGCCUGUGGUUGAUUUCAUGACUUCCUCCUCAUUGUUUGCCUGUCUGCGUGACUGGAAACCGGCAGUGACAGACCGAUGACUCCGGCCUCUCUUUAACCAGGCUUGUGGAGAAACUGGACCUGGCUCCCUCUGAAGUAGUGAGUAAUCAAGGCCGACGGCCGAGUGCCAUGCUUUUCCCACACUUGUGAGGCAGCGUAACCUGUCAUGCUGACCUUGUUGCUUAACUAUGCUUUCAGCUUGAUGUCCAAAUUAUCUCGGCACAAUGCUGCCAAGUCAUUUUGCUGGUUUGCACACAACUCUGCACCUAGUGGUCACUGUGAGUAGCAGUUAACUCUCCCCUCUAUUUAUCUUCCAUUUGGUUACAUUUCAAUAUAAUUAUUUGUUCAGCAGGUGCCUUUAUCCAAACCGUUUUACAAAUACUUCAAAACCAGAAGAGCAGUAUGUACAUUAUGAGCAG
rnacentral:lncRNA from 1 species